rnacentral:tRNA from 1 species
CAGGGAGACAAAACAAUGAUUUUGAUGUCUGAGUAAUUUAUUCUUAGGCCGAAAUCCUGUCACCUUAGGUCGAUCGGUACCUCAACAUUUUUUCAAAGACUGAUGAGUAAUCAUCAAGAGAUUGAAGGAGAUGUUCAGUUCCUAAACUUUGUCUAGGUCACACCCCGCAAGGGAAGAGUCCCCUGGGCCAUUAGCUCAGGUGGUUAGAGCGCACCCCUGAUAAGGGUGAGGUCCCUGGUUCAAGUCCAGGAUGGCCCAUUCGGUGUUGGGGGUUUAGCUCAGUUGGUAGAGCGCCUGCUUUGCAAGCAGGAUGUCAGGAGUUCGAGUCUCCUAACCUCCACUGACCGAACUCGAUCUCCGGUUUUGCAUUGAAAGAUGGAGAGCCACUCGAUUGUGAUGUGUGAUUUAGAUGUGUCCGCUGGAUGACCCCAGCUUCCUGUCAUUCCAAAUUGAAGUAAAGGAUUUUACUUGAACGAAUUUGGUUGAUAAGAUGCUGGGCUCGAGUUCAGUGAUCAAGAGAUUGGUCAUUGGAUUUGAAGUCUGGCAGAACCUUGACAACUGCAUAGGUAAGUCUGGAAAAACAAAGCAUCUUACAGAUGCAUUGUUUUGAAUCUGAUCUUCUGAAAAGGAGAUUAGAUCUAGAACAAUGAAAAUUCUUUUGAGCAAGAGCCGAGACUCUUGAGCGUUCUUUGAUUCGUGUCGAGCGAAUCAGAGUUUGAUCUUGUUUUAGGAAUCAGCGAAAGUUGAUGAUUAAAACUUGAGAAUCUGCCUUCAACGGCGGUAAGCGUUCAAGAGAUUAAUU